rnacentral:rRNA from 1 species
AGUGAACGCUGGCGGUAGGCCUAACACAUGCAAGUCGAACGGCAGCACAGUAAGAGCUUGCUCUUACGGGUGGCGAGUGGCGGACGGGUGAGGAAUACAUCGGAAUCUACUUUUUCGUGGGGGAUAACGUAGGGAAACUUACGCUAAUACCGCAUACGACCUACGGGUGAAAGCAGGGGAUCUUCGGACCUUGCGCGUUUGAAUGAGCCGAUGUCGGAUUAGCUAGUUGGCGGGGUAAAGGCCCACCAAGGCGACGAUCCGUAGCUGGUCUGAGAGGAUGAUCAGCCACACUGGAACUGAGACACGGUCCAGACUCCUACGGGAGGCAGCAGUGGGGAAUAUUGGACAAUGGGCGCAAGCCUGAUCCAGCCAUACCGCGUGGGUGAAGAAGGCCUUCGGGUUGUAAAGCCCUUUUGUUGGGAAAGAAAAGCAGCAGGUUAAUACCCCGCUGUUCUGACGGUACCAAAAGAAUAAGCACCGGCUAACUUCGUG